UGGACAGAAAGACCCUAUGAAGCUUUACUGUAACUUGAAAUUGAAACUGGACUUUGUUUGCGCAGCAUAGGUGGGAGGCUUUGAUGAUUUUCUUGCGGGAAAUUCGGAGCCAUCAGUGAGAUACCACUCCUAUAAUGUUAGGUUUCUAACUUUGAAUCAUUAUCUGGUCAGAGGACAGUUUCAGGCGGGCAGUUUGACUGGGGCGGUCGCCUCCCAAAUGGUAACGGAGGCGUACAAAGGUUUCCUCUGAACGGGUAGAAAUCGUAUCUAGAGUAUAAAGGCAAAAGGAAGCUUGACUGUGAGACCUACAGGUCGAGCAGGGACGAAAGUCGGUCUUAGUGAUCUGACGGUGCUGAGUGGAAAGGCCGUCACUCAACGGAUAAAAGUUACUCUAGGGAUAACAGGCU
rnacentral:rRNA from 1 species